GGCACAUUCCGCCGUCACCUACUGCCCGGGACCCCGUGUCGUGCUUACUGACCGUUACGGCUGGGCAGUCCGUCUUUACGUGCAAGAAAUAAUGAGGUAUAAAAUUUAUGUACAAUAUUUUGUUAACUCGUACGUCGCGAAUCAACUCGCCCAAACUCAACCCCCCCCCGCCCAAAAAAAAAAAAACCCCGUCCUCCGUCCUCCGUUCACCCCCACCGUCGACGUCUGUUGUAUUAAAACGAAAAAACAAAACGCGAUCUCGUGUCAUUUCGGUCGAACACGAAAUCCGCGUAUCCGCAUAUACGGCACGACGACGACGACGGAUGACCAAAAACCUAAUUACUUAAUUAAACGCGUGAUAUUGUAAUCACGCGGCAUUACAGCGAUACGGUUUUUAUGAUUUUUAUUCUAUUGUUUUUUUUUCUCAACUGAAUAUAAUAGUAUUUUGUAUACUUGACCGCGGGCAUAGGCGCAAGCAGUAAUAAUCAUAGUUUUGGGAAAUCCCGGUAAUCACCGCCGUCGCAUUUAAAAACGGGAAACCGCUCGCGCUUCGGGUGCAGUCUGUUAUAAUCGCCUCUCUCUUGUUAAAAUCUCCUAUUCUCUUACCGACCAAUUCCCCUCCCAUUCUACUCCGCCGCAAGAAAAUUUGAUAAACCGACGGGUACUCACGGCUCAAAAGAGGUACAUUUGAAUCACUUGAUUCACAAAAAACCGUGUGGGUGAGACACGGGCGUUUAGAAAUGUAACAAGAACUAUUAUGUUUUUACAAAACGAGUAAUCCAAUGAAUUUUUGACAGCGGAAAUUUGAUAAAUGUUAUCGAAAUUUAACAAAUUCCAAUAGAUUUGUUGCAGAUAGUAUUUCGGCCUGAGUGGAAAAUGUUAUCGGCGAUUCAAGGUAAAAAUACUUUGAGCCGCCACUUCGAAAACGAUCAUUGUAAUUUGAAUUACGACGAUUUUUACUGUAGAGGGCUCGGCGAAUUGUUUUCGGUUUCGCGUAAUAUCGUUUCGUUCGCGUAAACAUAACUGUGUACAUACGAUAACUCGACCGUGAGAUACACGAGCUAUGUGAACACGCCGACGCCCUGUAUAUUUCAGCAUUUUUUGUUAUCGAAUUUUCGAGCGUUUUUUUUUUGUUUUCUGUUUUUUAUCCGUUUCGUUUAGACGUAAUCCGAUGUUUGUGUAUGAUUUUUAAUUGGGGAAAGAACAAUAAACGAUACACCGAAUUUUCAGCUUCGGUUAAUACCGCGCGCUGUAAUCCUGUAUUUUUCUUCCGGAAUAAAACUUCGCUGACAUAUCGACGACGGUUCUCGUCGUUAUAUUAACCGUCUAUCUUUCGUCCGCUAUACGUAUACGUAUAACAUAUUUUAUUAUUAUACACAAUAUCCAAACAAAUCCCGGGGUGGCCGGAUGAUUUUUAGCGAUACUUUAAAACGUAAUUUAUUACGAUGGCGCGUUUCACAUCGAAAAUAUUAUUAUACCUUAUAUAUUAUACAUAAUGAUAUAUGAAAAGGGAUAAAGGUGUUAACUGACAUUUUGUUGGUUUUCUUUUUUCGAGAUUGAUAUCAUUUCAUAUAUUCCGAAUUGUUCCGACGUAUUACGGACGUAUACAUAAUCUCAGAACAACAAAAAUCGUAAAAACCUAUAUUUACGAAGUCGCAGUGACGGAGUAGGGAGAAGUUUUGCGAGUGUGUUUUUUUUUUUAACAGUUAUAGUCAGAGCCGUAUUGAGCCUGGGGUAUCAGUUUGAAAACGCCUCCUUUUAAGGUCUUACCCGGGGACGAUUUUGGGGGUUAAUUCUCUCUCAAAUGGUUUGUUAUUUUUUAUAAUUUUAUUCAAUUCAUAUUGAAAUUUCAACAUUUUACCCUCCACCUAACAAGAUUUUUCCUUACUUUUCAAUUUUUUUCUAGGUAUAUAUGUUACGUUAUUUGGUUUUACUGAUGCUUCAUUAAUUACCACAAAACAAUAUUCAUUACUAUCUAUAAUAUAGCGUUCAAAGCGUUCAAAAAUAAAGCAAAUAACAAUUGUCAUAAUAAUAUUGAGAUAAUGUUAAUUUUAUUUCGAGUUUUAUGGGCCGGGCGCCCCGUAGUUUUAAAUAGGUUUGGCGUCCCGGCGAAAGUGUCCUCAUUGCCCCCUUCUCUGUAACACAGUCCCGGUUGUAAUGUAUAAUAUCCGAUUACUUUAUUUGUUGGUCUUUUCCGCGAACAAAGGUGACAUCCAGUAAUUUUUCGUAUCGAAUCGUCAUUUUAAAUAAUACGAAGUGUCCGGUUCUAGAACUGGGUAUCUCCGUGUUUUGAAAUCAUUCAGGAGGUAGAUCCGUGAAGUUAGACGCACAAUAUCAAUAUUUUCCAACCAAAUUUUCCCAAAAAUGUCUAAGUUAUUUGUAACUUACACAUUGUAAGUAUUUGUAAAUAAAAAUUUGAAAUUUGUAAGUCCAGUCGUUUUUAGUUAUCAACAAAUAUUUAUUUCACGGCUAACUUCCGCAAAAUUUGGCCGUUUUGCCAUUUCCAAAUUUUUCACCCUGCCAAAAUGUUAUAGACCAUUUGUAAGUAUUUGUAAGCGUAAAUCCACAAUCUGUAAGUCAUCCCUUCUUGAAUCAUCUCUGAAAAGAAGUAGUGGUCAAUAGUGUUUGGUGUUCCGUUAUAAUUUACUAUACAAAUUGGACAAAAAACGACAAAGUUCGAAAUUAUUCCCCAAUAGCUGAAUUUUGGUGUAAAAGUAGUUUAUACUUCAUAUAUGAACAUAUACUAAAAGUCGUUAUAUUUACCCUUUGUGACAUUUUUACCUGGCCAAAAUGGUUUACAUUAUUUAAGUAUUUGUAAACAUGAAUUUAAAAUUUGUAAGUUUUCCUAAUGGAUUUAUUUAUAUCUAAAAAUGAUGUUGGCUGUGCUAUGUCAGUUGAUUAUAAAUUAAUUAUUGAUAGUUUAUUUUAUAUAGAUACUUACCAGUUUUAUGUGAGUUUUCUUUUAACAUUGUCACCAGAAUAACGGUAAUGUUUAAGCUAAAUAUAAAAGUUUGUGUUUCAUAUUUUAUUAUCAUGUAUGCGCAUAGUAACUUUAUAUUUUUCCUGAAUCGCCAUUCUCUAAUAUUCUGCAUUUUUAUAAUUUGUAUCAGUUUUAAUAAUAUUAUUAUUAUUCUGUUAAUUUAACUACUUAUAAUCAUAUAAUCAUAUUAUGUUAAAUAAUAAUACUAAUAAUAGUAUAAUUUCAUUCUCACCUACUAUAGUGUUUUAGUUUUACAUAAUAUAUUCAAAUGUUCGUGGUUUUUAACAAUAAAAAUAGACUUAGUCUUAGAGAUAUGUAUACGAUAUGUUGAAUUUUAAAAUUAUCAACGAGUAAAAUGUUGGAAAGUGGGUACCAUUAGGCUGUGUAAUGUAAAGUUGGAGGUUACUGUAAUGAAAUGAAUUUGAAUUCAAUGAUAUAACAUUGUUUUAGAUAUUAUAAUUUUAUUAAUGGUGGAUAAAUGAAAAUGAAAAUAAAAUUUGUCUCCAACUUCCUUUAUUUUCACUUUUAAAUUCUAAGUGGUUCGAAGAAGCUUAUAGUUUUACAAAGAUGUUUUUUUUUUUUAAACUGUACACAAUUCAUUUUUCUAGCAGAAGACUUACUCGGAUUUCUACGUGUAUCACCUUUUCUGAAAGAAAAUCGGCGUGAGGAGAAGGCUAUUUUUAGAUUUUCUUAAGUUUUCUCGUCAAAUGCAAAAAACCGAAAAAUAAAAAUUGGAAAAUUUACUAAAUAUAAUAAAUAUAAAUUACGAUUUUUAUUUUUUGUGGACAAUUUUUCUACCAGCAAUUUUGCUCCAACUUUUAAUGAUAGCAAUGUUUCUAAAAGAAAAUUUCCGAUCUGGGAAUAGAUCUACCUCUAUGGCUCUUUAAAUACAUGUGAGUAUUAUUAUAUAAUUAUAUUUUAAUAUAUAAUAUAAGGCUCUGUACGUUAAAAUGUUUGUCAUCUACCCCUACAAAAAAUCCUAAAUACACCACUGGAAGGGAUAACUUACAAAUCGUGGAUUUGCGCUUACAAAUACUUACAAAUUGAAUAAAACAUUUUGACCGGGUCAAUAAUUUGGAAAUGGCAAAAUUGCCAAGUUUCGCGAAAGUUAUCCGCGAAAUAAAUAUUACUGAAUAAUUCAAAACCACUGGGCAAACAAAUUUCAAAUUUUUGCUUGCAAAUACUUAAAAAUGACUUGAAAAAUUUUGGGAAAAUUUGAUUGGAAGAUAUUGAUAUUGUGCGGCUAACUACAUAGAUUUUCAGGAGGCGCGAAAAACUAAUGGAGUUAUCUGGUUCGCGCGGUGUGUUUCGGUGCACAAACCCCUGCACCUUUCUCCUGAGAUACUCGGUUAUCGUACCGAACUAUAUACACUGGACACGUCCAUUCGUAUAAUGGCUGUACAUUACUUACGUCUCGAAAAAAAAAAAUGCUUAUUUUGCAGGUAGUAAAUUCGACCGAUAACUUACGUCCCGUUUCGGGGACGCAACUUAACUAUGUUAUUUCUCCUGUCCGCUGUAAAAGUCAUAACCGAGUGGCGUUCCCAGACCUAUAGGCAGCGUUCAAAUUUAUACGGCAUUUACGCACAUAAUACAGAAAAUAAUGAAGAUACUAUCAUAGUGAGUUAGUGUGAUAUAAUUUAAUGCGUAUCGUGGCGUUUUCGUUAAAAAAUGUUCGAGUCCUAUUUAUAAUAUUAAAUGCUUUGAAAAACUUGAUAUCUAUAGCCGAUUCGAUAGAUAUAUCGUAUACAUUAAUUAGAUAAAUUGGAUUAACAGAAAACGUUUAGUAUAAUGCUCAGUACGUCGUAUUAUACAGUGUCCGUUUACGGUUUAAGAAUGAAAAAAAUGUUUAGCUCCAGCAAAAUAAUGUUUUAUAAUUAUAACGACUAUAUAAAUUCAGUAAAUUUAAAACCAUAACCAUUUGUUAAAGUUCGAUGGGCCACAAAAUAAUAUUUCCGAACCAACUUCGCAUAAUCGUGAUUCAAAUGAACCUGUACGCCCCUUAUACGACAAAAAUCAAUUAAUGGACUAAAACAUAUUUCAGACAUUUCGAUAAAAUGGAAACUUAUUCAUUCUGAAUUUAGUGCAGAUGCAUCAUUAAUAUACAACCUCGGAUAUCAAUCUAGUAAUCACUAUUGUCUGUUAUAAUAUUAUUUGUGCAAUUUAAAACUUCUACCGUGACUCACUUGCUGACAAUAAUAUCGGACAAAAGUAGUAUGGACUCUGUGUAAUAUAAUACUAACUGAAUCAAACGGUAUCAAACAGAGGGAUAUACACAGGUCCGUCGUAAGAUACUUUCCGCCCUAAAGCGAACAUUUGAUGCAAGUCUUUUUUGGACCUUUGAAAUUAUUAAUUUAAUUUUGCCGCUUCAAUUUGAUUUACAAUUUUAUGCCACCCUAAAGUAAUGCAUAGCUUUUUUGUACCCUAGCGAAGGACCUCAAGAUACCUGGUUGUUGCACCUAUCCGUAGACGAAAUUAUUCUUUAUCGGAAAAUUUAAAGACACGCCUUACCGGAAAAGAGCGUUGAGGCGACCGGUUCUUAACCGGAAUCUUCAAUUUCAAAAUCUUCACGUACUAUAUAGAUUAUCCCACGAAAAUAUGACCAUUGCGAUAUUUUGGAGAGUACUGACUUUUUCGAUUUUUUUAUUUUUGACAAUUUGCAAAAAACAAGUGGCUUUAAAAUGUUGCAUUUUACGAUACGUCAAGUCAGGUUACUUCCUUUUAAAUUUUCAAACGAUCACCUAUAUGUAUAUGUUACAUAUGCUCUCAAACAUAGACAGUGUAUUAAUUUAGAACUUUAACAACAAUAAAACGUAUUCCGUCUAUUUAUGGAAUAUUCAAUAUAUAAGGUCCCCGUUUGAAUAUCAAAAUUAGAUGGUCGCCAGUGUUUGUUUCAGACCUUCAUUCGUGGGAGGAUAUCGUAAAUUUCUAAGGGGGCAUGCCAAAUGUAGGACUGGAUCUAGCUAUUUUUACCACUUUACCACAGGAAAAAAUUAAGCCAAUACGUUCAAUGAUGACUUUUUUGUAGCUCGUUCAAAUACGAUUAUUUAUAUAACACAGAAUUUUUAUUUUAUCGUUAACAAGAUAAUUCAUAGUACCUAGGCCAAUAACUCAUUUUACAUAUCAUAUCACAUGUAGUUUACGUAGUAAUGUCAUACAUUUUUAGGAGGUAGUAUACAUUAUUCUGCGGGGAAGGGGAUUAUUAUCACCCUUUUGGUCACCGCCUCCUAAAAUUAAUACUGGUGAUCGCAAUUUCACCACCGAAAAUAAGGCUGAUAAAAAUAAUGGCAACAUAACAUGUUAGAGUUACUUGUUUCUAAUAUUGUGAAAAAUUAAAAGUAAUUUCGAAAAAAUUCAAUACACUCUCUAAAAUAUCACAAUGAUUAUAUCUUUAAAGGACACAGUUUAUGAUAUGUGCAUGCAAUUUUGUACCGGCUUAUUUUGAAUGCUAUUACGAAAUUAGGUGAAUUUAGGUCCGAAAAUAUCAAAUCGAAUAUCAGUUGUAUUACAUUUGAAACGUUAAUAUUGUAUACUUGUAUUUCCGCGCUAACGAACAAAAUUAAUAAAACUAAUUUGAUUGAUUAAAACGCCCAAAGAAAAACCGACGAGACGAGACGAAAAAAAAAUACUCGGUCGUACAUUAUUAUAUAGUGUAAUUUUAGAUUCUGAGUGAAGCGUGGAAUGUAUUAGUUUUAAAAUUAUGUUUAUUUUUUGAUACUGUGUACAAUAUUUAUACCAGAAAUCUUAUUCCGAUUUUCAAAUACAGUAUCUGAAAGAGAAUUUUAACUAGUUGGUACUUAAGGGAGGUGAUUUUUUGAUUUUUCAGUUUUCAUAAUAAUUGAGAAAAACCGGGAAAAACUUAAGAAAAUAUGAAAAUGUACGAAAAUAUUGUUUUUAUUAUUUUAUACCUUGUUUUUGUUUUUUUUUUUGUUGUAAUUCAAUUGAAAAUAUUCGUAGAGGUUUGGUAUUUGGACAGAAACCUUAAAUUUUUCUUAAUAUACGUCGUUUAUUUAGUUUAUUUAGUUUAUUUCGUUUAUUUAUGUAGCCAUUUUUAAGCUAUUUAUAGACAUUUUAAUUUUGCGAGUUUUUACGUAAUUUUUAUUUAGUAGGCACCCUGUGGAUACAAUUGUUAGACCAAAUAGAAAUACAUGACAAUUUAACAGAAGGUUCAUAAGAAAUUGUGUAUAGUGGUAAACAAGAAUAAGUUGAGUUUUUUUUAUAAAUUUUACUAUCAAAUUUUGAUAAAAUCAUAAAUAUGGCGGCCUUUUAAAACAUGUGUAACCGACUCCAUUCAGAAUCGUUCGGGCAUCGUUCAUAAACAAUGAUUAAUCGUUGCAUAAAAAGAUACACAUUAAAUUAUAUCCUACCUUCCCAACUUCACGUACAACAGUGGCCCACCCAUCAUGCGAAGCAUGUCCGUCUUCUUUUUUUUUUUUUUUUACAAAAAAACCAUUUCGAUUUUCAACAAAGUAUUAGAAAAAAAAACCAAUAAUAGGUAUCUAUCGCAAAUUACAACGAAAUGAAUAAACUUUUCUUUCGUUUCGACGUGAAACGUACAUACGUGAGAUCGGACAGGUCAGUUUUUCCAAUUAGUUCAAUCGUAUAACAUUCGAUUUGAAAACGUACAUAUCAGAGGUUUGGACCUCUUAGAUCCCUAUAACGUUCUCCGAAAUAGAUUUUCAAAUGCUCCCAUAUAAAUUGAAAUAAAUUUAAUGACUUUUUCUUUUUUUUCUUUUUGGCAUACUUUACAAAUAAACUGUACUUAACAUUCGUAAUAACAGUUUGUAUCGACAAUAAUAAUCAUAAAACUUCUCGUGCUUUCUCAGCAACGUGUUCACGUUUCCUCUCGGUUGGGAAAACAACGACAUAUGCAAAUAAUAUACUCACUUAUUAAAAUAAGACGAACAUACUUCGCACGAUGGGUGGGCGGUGGGCCACUGUUUUAGUCAAAAAUUUGGGAAGGUAGGAUAUAAAAGGAAAUUUAAUACAUAUCUAUACGUAACGAUUAAUCAUUGCUAACGAAAAUUACUGCUGAACGGAGUUUUUUUUAUACAUGUACGUAAAUUCUCCCGGUUUUUUUUUUACAUUUUUCCCAACUAUUAUAAAAACCACUGCAGGGAAAAUCAAAUAAAUGACCUUCUUAAAAUACCAACCAAAUACAAUUUUCUUUCAGAAAAUGUGCCGCAUUUGAAAAUCAGAACGAGAUUUCUGGUAAAAGUUGUGUACAUAGUAUAUAUAUAUAUAUAUAAAAAAAAGCCUUCAUUGUAAAACCAAACUAGCUUCGCUCAAAAUCUAAAAUUAAAAUUGAAAAACGCUGGUUUAUCCGUCUCGGUUUGAAUUGAACUUUCGUGACUAUUCAAAUCAUUCGAGUUUUCGGGAAUUCUCAUUUCGCUUUACUACCUGCACCGUAUUACACGUCACACCGGUCCGACAAACAGAAAAUUGGUCUAAAUCGCUACGUGGCCGCGUAUUUGCUGUAUAUACCUAUAUAGGUAUAUAGGUAGACGAAUAAAGAAUAUAAUAUCCGUUUCGAAUUUCCCCGUUAGUGGACUUUUUUUUUUUUUGUGGAUUUUCAACGACAGUAUAUAUAUAUAUAUAUACACACACAUAUAUAACUCCAGCCCUAACGACAAUCAAUUUUCCUCUGUAUACGGGGGCGGCGUAGAAACCCCGAUUAUAAUAUCGGAGAGAAAAGCAUAAUAAUACGUUUUUCUCGUAUAAUAUUACGCAUGAUAAUAAUAUAUAAUAUAUAUACGUAUGUAUAAAAUACGAGUACAACAUAUUAUAAUACCUACACAGGCAUAAUACAAAUGCAGCAUCAGGAGGUACCUAUCGACUUCAUUGAUUGAUUUGUUGCGCCGGUGACGCAUUGCGAUUUAUAUUUGCAUACACUACUACAUAAUAUUAUCUUUCUCUCGAUAGUAUAUAGUUAGGUACGCGCACGGUGUAUAUUAUAAUAUUAUACAGAUCAGAUUCGAAUUUCCAUUUUGUAUUAGUCGCCCGUAAUAUAGGUAGGUACCCGUACACAAUAUUAUCGCGGUACGUAGUUUAUAAUAAUAUUAUUUCGUGACUGCCGCCGCCACAGUUAAACCGUUUUCGAUAAAUAUCCACGCUGCGAAUAACAACUAUCCUGCAGGUAUCGUUUACAAUAUUACCGUAUCCGGCUCAGAGUGAAAUUAACAUGUUCCGAAAAAAAAAAAAAAAAUAAAAAUAUCCGUGAGCAGCAGAAUCCCGACUCUAGAUCCGUGUGUAACCCCCUACCCCUAUGCUGGUGUAAAAGACGUAUUUUUCGCAAAACAAUAAAUAACCGCGAUAAUAAUAAUACAAUAAGGCCAAAUAACUGCAAUUACCUAUAUCUAUACUGCACUUCCAAAAAUUAUGAUGAAAUUCUAUUGUAAAAAUUGUAGGGAGAGGGUCUGAAAGUUUAUACAUUCGUAAGACAACGUUCUUGACCCUGAUGCCAUGUGUAUACAAAAUUUCAUCCCCCGGCUCGUAGGUUUGUAGGGAUGUGCGAAUCUUAAAAACAUCCCCUAUCACAGUAACAAAAUUGUGGAAUUUAUAGCACUUCGGUCCGUAUAUAAAAAUGCUCUACUUACUGAGUUUGACCUGAUUUUAGUCCAAAGGGAGCCGCUAAAAGUGUGUAAAAAUAGCGGGAAAAGAUAAAAAAUAUAACAGCAUAACACCAUACAGUUCUGUAGUCUCUAUAUUCAAAACAUAAAUGGGAACACGAAUUUGUGACAUUUAUAUGAUUUUCAAUGGUGAAUUCGACUCUGUAAUCAGUUUGUUUCAUAACUCAUAAGAAUCACCAUCAUUAAGUUGCCUCCACCUCCCACUUUGUCCGUUCGAUUUCAAAAUACCACCAAAUAAUUGAAAUUCAAGUUUCGCUAAUCGCUAAUCUAUAGCAGUAAUAUUUACACGGAAAGUUUGAGUAAAUUUGAAAUGAUUUUUUUUUCUGCUUCUUAGAAUUGAUCCAUGAAAUAAUAAAUAUGUAACUGUGAAACUGUGUUAAUCGUGUGUUCGUUAUAUUUUUUCACAGCCAAAUCGCUAAACUAAUUUCGAUCAAAUACUUUUACGUCCCAGAAUUUAACACCCAAAGCGUUUUUAUUGGGGGAGUGACAUUUGAUUUUUGGCCUUAUAAAUAAAAAAUUGUAUUUUAUUGUUAAUUAAUGUCUGGUUUCCAUCAAGUAUAGAUUCUGAGCAGAGCGAUUUUACAAUGAUGGUUUUUUUUUUUUUAUGUAAACAACUUUUUUUGAACGGAAAUCUGAUUGGAGUGGUACUUGAUGGAGGUUAUGUUUUGAUUUUCCUAGGGGUUUUUAUAAUAAAUGGAAAAAAAACGUAGGAAAGACGGUAAACACUCAGAAUCUUUUGUCGUUAGCAAUAAUUGAUCAUUGCGUACAGCUAUAAAUUAAAUGGAAUCCCAAAUUCUCACCUAUAACAAUGGUCUACACAUCGUGUGAACUAGGUCCGUUUGUUUUUUCCUUUUAAUUAUUCACCAUCGAUGUUAACAUCGAUAAACCUAUACAGGUUCCAAACUUUUUGUUCUCGUAAACACUUGUUCACUAUCAAUCUUUUUCGGCUUCGCGAUCAGAUCAAAUGGUUCGGUGGGCGUAUGAGUGGCGUCCGGGGGCGUAUUUACGUGCGUAAAUAGACCACGUGCAGCCUACAGCGACAAAUUUUCAUAUCAUUAAUCAAUUACCCUCCCUUAAUGGGCGGAAUUGUUUUCUUUACAUUUUUUUUUCACGCCUAUUAUAUAACUAAUAUAAUAUAAGAGGCAAUGGACGUUUUUUAAGUGGCUCGCGGAGGCCAAAAUUCUAAACACGCCUUUGGUGGCUAGGCGGUGCGUACAGGAAAAACGCGUCUACAGUGGUCUUAUGUCCACAGGCUCUGAUUCUCCCGGAUUUGAGUCGUAUAAUGUUUCCCCCCCCCCCCCGAUUUCGACAUAGUUUCCUAGUAAAAAGAAAUUCGCGCCUCUGGCCACUGGUCGCCCGUAUAAAUCGGCAGCUGCAAUACGUGCGGUGGGCACGAUCGCGGGGUACCGCGACGAAAAUUUAGCGAACCCGAAACAAAAUAAUAAUAAUAAUAACAAACACAUUUUUUUUUUAUCCGUCGAGCUUUUAAUCUUGAGAUUAUUAUCAACUCGACAAUUACAUAUAAUGUAUAUAUAUAUAUAUAUAUAUAUAUAUAUAGGUGUAUAUAUACGUAUACAUAAUAUGUAUUCGAGAUUAAAAGCAUUAGCCGGGGCCGCGUCACGUCACUGAAAACCCCGCGGUCCAAGUAUACCGCGGCGUAUAUAUUAGCCGCAAACCGUUCGGCACGGCUUAACAUGGCGGCGGCGGCGGCGGUACCCAAACCUUCGCGUUUCGUUAUUAUUACCGUACCCCCCUUACUAACUCCUUAACCCUCCGGUUCCCCCUUUCCCACACCACCACACCACUCCGCCGCGAGAUCCAAAUUUGCGCCUAUGACCGCAGCGGUUAAGCCCGUCACGACGUUUAUUCGGUUUUUGUUUUGUUUUGUUUUCCCACGCAGAUAUAUCCGCCUGCUACAAUGUAUAGGCAUUGAAUGUUAAAAAAAAAAAAAACAACAACAACAGCCGCAAGUGCGGAACCGGCGACGUUUUACACCCGCCUACGACAUUACAAUACAACACACCG
rnacentral:lncRNA from 1 species